UUGCAGCCAAGCCACUUGGUGAAGGUGAUCUUGCUUCACAACCCACACCCAGGACUGAGCCUCAGGGAGAUGGUGAGGUUACAGGUGUGUCUGCAGGGAGCGCUUUGCCAGCUCCUGGGUUGGUUACUGCAGACAAGCCCGGCUCCCAUCGCAGGGGAAGGAACAAAGCUACUGGACCCAAGAAACCCCAUGAGCCAUCUAAUACCAUGCAGCAAAUGCUGAAGGAAAUGCUGCAGGGAGCACAAGAGAAGAAUCAAAAAGCUGUGCUGAAGGCGGCGUUUCCUGGAGGAAGCAGUGGCUCAUGGGCAGCCUCUGCUGCAGGAAGGGAGGCCAUGCCAGGCACAGUCCCAGGAGCCAAGCCACUUGGUGAAGGUGAUCUAGCUUCCCUACUCACAUUCAGGACUGAGCCUCACGGAGAUGGCGAGGGUGUGUCUGCAGGGAGGAUUUUCCCAGACACUUUU